CUACCGGUAGGGUACGACGUUGGGUCGACUGCGUGUCGUCAGCUCGUGUCGUGAGAUGUUGGGUUAAGUCCCGCAACGAGCGCAACCCUAUUGUUAGUUGCCAUCAUUCAGUUGGGCACUCUAGCGAGACUGCCGGUAAUAAACCGGAGGAAGUGGGGAUGACGUCAAAUCAUCAUGCCCCUUAUGACCUGGGCUACACACGUGCUACAAUGGUUGGUACAACGAGUUGCGAGUCGGUGACGGCGAGCUAAUCUCUUAAAGCCAAUCUCAGUUCGGAUUGUAGGCUGCAACUCGCCUACAUGAAGUCGGAAUCGCUAGUAAUCGCGGAUCAGCACGCCGCGGUGAAUACGUUCCCGGGCCUU
rnacentral:rRNA from 1 species